rnacentral:tRNA from 1 species
GUGUAGCUCAGUGAUAGAGCACUUUCCUGGCAUGCAUGAGGCCCUGGGUUUGAUUUCCAGCAC